GACGAACGCUGGCGGCGUGCUUAACACAUGCCAGUCGAACGGUGAAGCGAGUGCUUGCACUCGUGGAUCAGUGGCGAACGGGUGAGUAACACGUGAGUAACCUGCCCAUCACUCUGGGAUAAGCACUGGAAACGGUGUCUAAUACUGGAUACGACCAACCCUUGCAUGGGGUGUUGGUGGAAAGAUUUAUCGGUGAUGGAUGGACUCGCGGCCUAUCAGCUUGUUGGCGGGGUAAUGGCCCACCAAGGCGUCGACGGGUAGCCGGCCUGAGAGGGUGACCGGCCACACUGGGACUGAGAUACGGCCCAGACUCCUACGGGAGGCAGCAGUGGGGAAUAUUGCACAAUGGGCGGAAGCCUGAUGCAGCGACGCCGCGUGAGGGAUGACGGCCUUCGGGUUGUAAACCGCUUUCAGCAGGGAAGAAGCGAAAGUGACGGUACCGGCAGAAGAAGCACCGGCUAACUACGUG
rnacentral:rRNA from 1 species